UACUGCUGGUUUUGUUUGCCAUUAGACCUCUUGAUUACCUUGGUGCACACAGAUAUAAUCUGUUUAGAUAUAAUCUGUUUAUUUAAAAGGAAACUGAAUCUUGAUUUGGUGGUUAGUGAACAGUUGAACACUCAACAUGAAUGUUUAUGCAUAAAAAGUAUUAUGUCCUUUGUAGAUUCUUAUGGUUAGCCAGAGGCUAUAAUUAGAAGAUGAUGUCUUUGGGAAGGUAGGUAGGGCUGUUCAGCCCCAAACAAUUGUUGAUCAGCUAUACUGAUCCCUUUUUCAUGUUGCAAAACCUUUUAUCCUAUGCCUUCUUUUGCUCAAUUGGCCUAACAACCAAGGGAUAAAUAGAAAUUGCCACAGGAUCUUCUUACAACGAUGGAAAGUUCAUUUGUAAUAAUCAUUUUACUACCUCAAUAGGAAAAACAAAACAUAGAGCGAGCUUUUAUAGCCUGAGGCUGUGUUUAGUUCAGCGCAAAGUUUGGAUUUUGGUUGAAAUUGGAGAUGAUGUGACUGAAAAGUUGUGUGUGUAUGACAGGUUGAUGUGAUGGAAAAGGACUGAAGUUUGGAUCCAAACUUUGGAUCUAAACACAGCCUAAAUGUGAAACUAAUUCUGUGAGUAGAUGAGGUUCUGUGAUAAUUUUCUUGAGCAUAAGUGCACGUUUUGAUGUUCUCUAUCUGCAUUUUCUUGUAUGCUUUCCCCUUUUGUGCAGAUAAAUAACUGGCAAGAUAUUGGAAUGCCUAAGAAUGGUACAAAACUAAGAGCAAGAACUUUCGGUGCCAAUACAACACUGCCAGCCUUUGGUCAUGAAAACAUUAGAGAAUCAACUUAGACAUCACCAUAUCUUACAGGUGGGCUUAAAGUAUAUAAUAAACAAAGUGGAACAAGUCAUGAAUGUCAUGCCUAAUUGUUGUUGUUUUAACCAGGCAACAAACUCAGGAAAUCGAGAUGCACACUUCAAAUGAUCUGAUUUUGAAGCACACAACUGACAAAGUGGACAUGCUACAACAAUUUCUACAACAAGAAGCACCAUUUAUAGAACAAAAUGCAGUACACAUGUAUGUUGAUUGCAGUGCUAGGAGUGCAGUAAAUUUUUUUACAUGGGUGUAUUUUUUGCAAUGAUGGAUGUUAAUAAUUGAGGGAUAUGAUGAGUUAGAUGAUAUAAACAAGGCACAAUGAAUGAAUUGAGGCCAUCCUGAUGUUGGGUUGCACAUGUAUUAUAUUUUAUUGGAUUUCUCCUUUUAUGCACUAUGUACAAUAGUUGGUCAGAGAGGAAAGGCUAGAGCUAGAAGACUUUUUCACUUUCUUUUUUUCCCUCUAAAUAUGGGCUGUUAGACAGAGUUUUACUAACUGAUAGCAAUAACAACACUCCUCUGAAAAUAAGAGAGAUGUGUUCCUCUGUUUGCUAGAUGCUACUGGCCAGCCUAAUGGUAAUUGAUUAAUUCCAUGCAGCACCAUAUUUAUCUUGUA